ACCCUCUCAGUAUCACACCUGGAGAGCUUCUAGUACUCUACCAGUCUCGACUAUGGAAGGAAGAGUCAAGCAGAGGCCUACCCAUUCCAUUCCUAGCUUGGCCAGUGACUAACAAGUGGAAGGCAAUCUGCUACAAGU